rnacentral:rRNA from 1 species
CGGACGGGUGAGUAAUGCCUAGGAAUCUGCCUGGUAGUGGGGGACAGCGUUUCGAAAGGAACGCUAAUACCGCAUACGUCCUACGGGAGAAAGCAGGGGACCUUCGGGCCUUGCGCUAUCAGAUGAGCCUAGGUCGGAUUAGCUAGUUGGUGAGGUAAUGGCUCACCAAGGCGACGAUCCGUAACUGGUCUGAGAGGAUGAUCAGUCACACUGGAACUGAGACACGGUCCAGACUCCUACGGGAGGCAGCAGAU